rnacentral:lncRNA from 1 species
GCUGCAGAGUGAACUCUCUCCAGAAUAGCACAGGAUCCAACCAGCAGCCACUUGAGCAAGGUGACGCUUCAAAUCCCCCAGAUGUGAGAGAGUCCGUCCGUCUGAGCUUCCAGCUCCUUGGGUAAGUGUACUGCCAGCCCAACGCCAGACACGUUCCUUUAUUUCUGACCCUGGCAGCUCUUUUAGGAAGAGCGAUCAGUGAACUGCUGGGUUUUACAGAGAACCCAGUCUGUCAAUGUAUUUGAUGCCCUUGGAAUGGAUGUUUGUUUCCCCAGACUAGACAGAAUUUCGGAUGUCCAAAGAAUUGCUCAUUCAAACAAUGAAGCAAGUUAUAAUUAACCAGAUGACUGGGUCUUAAAAUGCAAUUCCAGAACUCGGUAUCUCAGGUCCAUCUAGAGCUUGUGGUGUGAGUGAGAUUUAUUCCAAACGGAUUAAGUGGAUUAAGUGAAAUUGGAACAAGACACCCUUAUUCUGGAACGAGAACAUUCAAAGACAAUGAGAAAAAGGAUUGAAUGUCUACAGUUAAUUCACCAUCUAGGUGAGUCCCGUACAGAAAACCAGUACCUAAUACUCCUUAGGUGGUUUUGCUUGUUAGGAGAAAUUUGAAUUAGGAGAUGUAGCUCAUGGCAGGUGCUGAAAUUAUCCUUAACUUGGAGUUUGCAGCAGUUGCUGAAGUUAUCCUUCAGCUUGAGAGGUUCCUGGACUGCCGGCUUAUGUAUGAAUUAGGUAAAACAGUUUAUUCCUUUUACAAGGUUCCCCCCCAUCUUUUUAGUUGUGACUGAGAGUAAAUAAAUGUAUUAAUAUUGAUUUGGUUGAAUUUUUAAAGACAUGUAUGGAUGUGGAAGAUUUCCUAAAAUCAGCGAGUUUAUUGAUUUUUUUUUUUUUUAAAUGUAUGUAUGUGUUUAAAUACAGAUAUUUAUCUCAUUUUCCUUAUCAGGAGAAGGACAGAUUAGCCUUAGGUUCAGUUUGUGCUCCACUUGCUUUGUCAGUCAUUGUGAUUGUGUGGGUAGGGGUACGGCGCUGCAUCUGCCUCUCAGGAGUACAUUCAGACUCAAAUCUUCACGAGGUAUCUGGAAGGCAGUACUACACCCUCGUCCUAUUGUCACAGACCCGUCUGCUUUUAUCCCAUGCAAGUGAACCUCUCCCAUUACAGACUUCUGCAACAAAGCCACAAGUGUCCACCUCUGCUGUAUCUCCCUUGCUCUUGGAGGUCUUCUGACAUGCUGAGCAACAUCUGAUGUCUCAGGCAAUAGGGUGAGCUGCUCAGCAGGCAUCCACACAGAUCCUGCCUUGCAAGACCUCAUCUCCUGCAGUGCCAGACCUCUCUGUGUCUCAUCUCGGAAGAAAUCUGAAUAAAUAAGCUGUUGGUAUAGAAGUGAACCUUGAG